rnacentral:rRNA from 1 species
CGGUAGAUGAGUAAGCGGCGCACGGGUGAAUAACGCGUGGAUAUCUACCUCCGGGAACGGGAUACCAGUGGGAAACCGCUGCUAAUACCGUAUACGCUGGUAACGGGAAAGGGUGCCUCUUCUAUGCAUCUGCCCGGAGAUGAGUCCGCGUACCAUUAGCUAGUUGGCGGGGUAAUGGCCCACCAAAGCUACGAUGGGUAGCUGGUUUGAGAGGAUGAUCAGCCACACUGGGACUGAAACACGGCCCAGACUCCUACGGGAGGCAGCAGUGGGGAAUAUUGCGCAAUGGGGGAAACCCUGACGCAGCGACGCCGCGUGGAGGAAGAAGGCUUUCGGGUCGUAAACUCCUGUCAAGAGGGAAGAAGUGUAUGUAGGUUAAUAGCCUAUGUAUUUGACGGUACCUCUAGAGGAAGCACCGGCUAAUUCCGUGCCAGCAGCCGCGGUAAUACGGAAGGUGCAAGCGUUAAUCGGAAUCACUGGGCGUAAAGCGCGCGUAGGCGGACUUGUAAGUCGGAUGUGAAAGCCCACGGAUCAAACGUGGAACUAGAUUCGAAACUGCUUGGCUAGAGUAUUGGAAAGGGUGGCGGAAUUCCCGGUGUAGGAGUGAAAUCCGAAGAUAUCUGGAGGAACACCAGUGGCGAAGCAGGCCACCGGGACAAUGACUGACGCUGAGGUGCGAAAGCGUGGGUAGCAAACAGGAUUAGAUACCCUGGUAGUCCACGCCGUAAACGAUGGAUGCUAGGUGUCUGCCCGUUGGGGUAGGUUCCGUAGUUAACGCGUUAAGCAUCCCGCCUGGGGAGUACGGUCGCAAGGCUGAAACUCAAAGAAAUUGACGGGGGGCCCGCACAAGCGGUGGAAGUAUGUGGUUUAAUUCGAUGCAACGCGAAGAACCUUACCUGGACUUGACAUCCCGCGAAUCCUCUAGAGAUAGAGGAGUGCCCUUCGGGGAGCGCGGUGACAGGUGCUGCAUGGCUGUCGUCAGCUCGUGCCGUGAGGUGUUGGGUUAAGUCCCGCAACGAGCGCAACCCCUAUCCUUAGUUGCCACCAGAUAAUGCUGAGCACUCUAGGUAGACUGCCCGGGUCAACCGGGAGGAAGCUGGGGACGACGUCAAGUCAUCAU